AGCCGCUGAUGAUAAACUUUAAACUUUCUGACACCUCUUCUGAGCACUCAGUGCGGAUCCAUUAUGUCUGAGGCUU